GGUGGGGAGAGAAUCAAUUAUCCGACCUCAGCCGCUGCAGCCUGUGCCCCAGCCACGCCUAUGAAGCUGCGCUUAAUGUGGACCUAAGCACUCCAACAACUGCCUUUUGCCCGUGGUCCCCACCUGGCAACGCGAUAAACAUGGUCUCCGCUAUCAGGAGAGUUUAGCAACACCGGAGAUAGGGACCAGCAUGCACUGCACCUUCCGUGUCAGACGCCUUGUGCACAAUUCAAGACGGGAAGCCCCAGCAUCAAGUGUCUGCCGCCACUUCUGCUGCCUGCUGCCUGCUGCCAUGCUUCCCCGCCAGGAUAGACUCUGACCUGCAGGAAUUAUCAGCCCCAAAACAAACCUUUUCUUCUAUAAGUCACCUUGUUCAUGUGUUUAUGACAAUGCCGGAAAGGUAAUAAAUACCUCAGAAAAAAC
rnacentral:lncRNA from 1 species